UGGGGAAUAUUGGACAAUGGGCGCAAGCCUGAUCCAGCCAUGCCGCGUGAGUGAUGAAGGCCCUAGGGUUGUAAAGCUCUUUCACCGGUGAAGAUAAUGACGGUAACCGGAGAAGAAGCCCCGGCUAACUUCGUGCCAGCAGCCGCGGUAAUACGAAGGGGGCUAGCGUUGUUCGGAAUUACUGGGCGUAAAGCGCACGUAGGCGGAUAUUUAAGUCAGGGGUGAAAUCCCGAGGCUCAACCUCGGAACUGCCUUUGAUACUGGGUAUCUAGAGUCCGGAAGAGGUGAGUGGAAUUCCGAGUGUAGAGGUGAAAUUCGUAGAUAUUCGGAGGAACACCAGUGGCGAAGGCGGCUCACUGGUCCGGUACUGACGCUGAGGUGCGAAAGCGUGGGGAGCAAACA
rnacentral:rRNA from 1 species